rnacentral:lncRNA from 1 species
GGCUGACUCACUUCGCACUCCGCCUGGAGGAAGCUCAGCUGCCCAGGGGACAGCGCUGCUCCGAUCCUGGUUUCUUCCCACAGUCUAUGCUAAUUUCUACAAGGAGGAACCCUGCUGAGCUAAGCCAGCGGACUGGCUGGGCAGGCAGUGUUCAGCAUCCUGGUCCAAGCGCUUUCCAUUCCCAAAGGGGCCCCGGGCAGGACGCCGGCUGCCUGUCUGAAGCGGCGCCAGAUAUCCAUCUCUGCCCCGACUGGGCCAGCCAAGCAGCCACUGAGGAAUGUGGGCCACAGAGCUGCUUUAAUGCCGAGGAACCCUUUAAAAGCGUGCUUUUCCUCUCUGUGUCACAGUGAGUAGCGUAAAUAGUUCAGACACUGAACGGGACGGAGCAGGCGAGAGUGUGGGAUGGUAUCUCCCAGUCAGGGUGUGCUUUGUGCCAGCCACCUGCUUUACUUGCGUGGGGCAGGAACGGGUACUAAGGGGGAGCUGAAUGAUGACCAGCUGCCCCUUUUUCAGGAAGUGGGUGGUUUGGGCUAGAUAACAUACACAAAUAAUUCUCAUACAUCGAGUAAGCAGGGUCAGUGCAUGGAAAACACCACUGUUUAUUUUUGCCCAUGGGAAGCAGGGAAAUCUUCAUGGGAAGGUGGGAAUCCCCUCAAAAGCUUGCCUGACACAAGACUUACAUGCAAAGGUGUGACUCGGUGUGGGACAGGCGGGGAUGAUGGCACUGCCCUCUCUGGGUGAAGCAGGGGCUGCCCUGUCAUCAUUUUUGGUGGAUGAGGCCACUGUGAUUCAGAAAACUCAAAGACUUGCCACACACUUUAGUGGGGACCAUGGAGACUUUGUGUGGAGCUCAGCAGAUGACCCAUACUACUGUACCUUUCUGUUCUCAUGGGGUUCGUUCUUGUUCUAGCUCUGCUGUUCCUGUUUUCUAUUUUUAAAGUUAAUUUUAUUUUUAAAUUGACAAUUAAAAAUUGUUUGUGAUAUACGCCAUGAUGUUUUCAGGCAUGUUUACACUGUG